CUCCCCUCGCUCUCCUCGAUCUAGAUCGCUCCUCCCCUCCCUCCCCUCCGGCAUUACGGCGCCCGAAGCGUGCGUGCUCCCCACCUCUUCUCCACCUCGCGCCUCGCAGUCGUACUACCAACCAACCCCGGCCGACGCAACUCCAGUCACUCCCCGCCUCCCGCGAUGGUCGCCACGACGAAGAUCCCGCAGCGGCCGCUCUUCAUCGACGACGACUGGCGUGCGCCCGCACUCGGCCGCCACCUCCCCGUCAUCAACCCCACCACCGAGGCCUCCAUCGGCGAGAUCCCGGCGGGCACCUCGGAGGACGUGGACGCGGCGGUGGCUGCCGCGCGGGCGGCCCUCAAGAGGAACCGCGGCCGCGACUGGUCCCGCGUGCCCGGCGCUGUCCGGGCCAAGUACCUCUGCGCGAUCGCCGCCAAGGUCAGUGCUGCUAAUGAACGAAUGCUAGGAGGGGGAGGUGUUGAUGGAGGUAUAAACUAGCUUCCGACGAGAUGGGUGAUCGAGGAGAGGGGAGAGGCCGGUGCGAGUGGACCGGUCCGAUCGGUCAGGGUGGCGACCAAGGAGCCGAGGAUGUCGAGGAGGGCGGUGAACCCCGGCGGUCAUGGAAAGGCGGCUGGACAUGUGUAGGUGACACUGCUCUGGCCAUUUCUGCGGCUUAUGGGAUGCCUGCUAUCACGAGAUAUCUCCUUGGUCGUGGUGCUGGUCCAACUUGGACGGUGGAACAAAGAAACAAUGAGUUUCUGUGCGACAACUUUGAGGAUUGGAUUAUAAUGUGAAUUGGUUUCUGAUACUCUGUCGCUCAAGUGUUAAUUCUAGUCUUUUUUGCUCACCAUUCGAUGACUUUUUCUAUUAUUAUAGUAGGCGCAAUCAGCAUGACUUCUUAUGUGUUUCUUUUGCUAUUAUUAUAGUAGGAGGUUGCUAUUUUUUAUUAGAACAAACAUGAAAUUGGUUGCUCUAUUAGGCAACUCAUUUUUUUGUGCUAUUUCCUGGAGCUUCGAGUGAAGAGUAGGCUUGCAAUGCCUGCCUUUUUUGUGUGCUAUUUUUUUGUGUGCUAUUCCCUAGUUUGGGAUUUUCUCCCAAUUCCUAGGCAUCUAGUUCCUAUACUAAUAUACUUGUACUGCUCAUGCUGCUGUUGCUAGUGGUCUUGUAGCACAUCACAGCACUUCUAGUUCCUAUACUAAUAUACUUGUACUGCUCAUCCAACUCUACUGAUACAUGUUUACACUGUUAAUUAUUAGUGAAUGGUGAUGUCUGUGGUCCCGAGAUCCUUUCCGCGGUUUGCAAAAUGCUGUGAUGAAUCAUGAAAUCUACGACGUAUGUCAGACUUCAGAGAUGCCAUUUGUCAUUGAUGAGAAGAUAUUUCAUAUUCUAAGCAAUAAUGUUUGCAUUUCAUACUGAUAGCUGCCAAACUAUAAAUUGUUAUAGCCUUUUUUCUUGAUGUCGAUGCAUGCUUAUAUGUUUGAGGGUCAAGUAAUGAGGAAUAAACCAUAAUAUGAUGGAGCUCUUCUCCUCUAAUUCUUAGUAUUUAAGUCUCUGAUGGUACCUCAACACCCUGAUAUGUUUGUGGCUUUCUAUGCUAUCCACAUACUGAAGGAAGUCCUGCUAUCUUCACAACAAAUAUAAUUUUGCUUGAAUGAGUUUAUAAAUUGAACUAUCUCCACAACAAAGAUAUUUACCAUUUGUAGUUCCAAUCUAAAGUGUUGCUUGAUAUCAUUUGUGGUUCAAGUGAUGAUGAGAAACUGCAACAAUAUGACAGGAGUUACACUCUUGUGAUUCGUAGUUUAAAGUCCGAUGAUUUCUUAUCUUCAAAUAACCGUUGCCUUGUGAAAUGCAAUGCUGCUCACGUUCUUGUUCUCUUACGAAUUGUUUGAUGCAAUUUCUAGGACGGGUUUCUUUGACACUGAGGGAGUAUUAUCUUAUUACUUGUAUAUCCAUCAGCUGUUACUGCGCCUUUGUGGCGCAAUCUGAAUCUCUGUAGACCAAUCAUAUCUAAAGGAUGAGCCAAGCACAGCAUGUCUACAGUUUCAUAACGGAAAACCAAUCAUGCUAUAAGUACUAAGCAACUCCAUUGCAGUCUAAUUUGUUCAGAAUGGAGAUGAAAACUUUGGUUGGUUUGCAUCAUACCUUAUAGUCAUAUAUAUAUAAAGCUUCCAUUUAAUGUCCGAAGAAUGCAUACCUGAUUUGAGUUAGACUCUAGUCUUGACUAUUUUAUGUAGGUGGCAACUGACAAGAGUUUCAGUCUAGCUCAUCUGAAGUUUCUCUGUAUGCAGGAGGGCGACCUGGAGGAGCUUGAGAGGAGCGUGGAGCCUGCGUGGGAAAGCUUGGUCCACCUGCUCAAGCGCAUCGUCGACAGGCUGAACGUCGUUGACCACAUCAAAGCCGUCAAGGACUCGCCCGACCUCCGUGCCGCCGUCGAGGAUGUCCAGAUGCUGGCGUUUCAUGUUUCGUCGCGAGCAUCAAGACGAAGAAGUCGGAAGAAGCAUAGUUCAAGCUCAUCGGAGCUAGUUCAAGGAGUAAUGAAGCCCUUGAUGCUGAUCCAUAUUGGAACAAAUUGAAGCAUGAACUGUGACAUAUAGAGCUUGUUAUACUGUAGAGCUUGAUGCUCAUCGGCUCAUGUGACAUAUUGUACACCUGUAGAGCUUGUUAUACUGUGAUCGCAUUUGUAUGUGUUGAUGUAACAGAUUGUUGCUUCUUGUUAUUUGAAGUAUUACACCUGUUUUCUGUCUAUUUUGAUUUAAAUA